UACGUAGGUGACAAGCGUUGUCCGGAUUUACUGGGCGUAAAGAGCGCGCAGGCGGUCGAUCAAGUCGAGUGUGAAAGCCCCCGGCUCAACUGGGGAGGGUCAUUCGAUACUGAUCGACUCGAAGGCAGGAGAGGGUAAUGGAAUAUCUGGUGUAGCAGUGAAAUGCGUAGAUAUCAGAUAGAACACCAAUGGCGAAGGCAGUUACCUGGCUCAAAACUGACGCUAAAGCACGAAAGUGUGGGGAGCAAACAGG
rnacentral:rRNA from 1 species